GCGAGAGUGGCGAAAUUGGCAUACGCGCCAGAUUUAGGAUCUGGUGCCCUCGGGCGUGGGGGUUCGAGUCCCCCCUCUCGCAUCA
rnacentral:tRNA from 1 species